UACGUAGGGGGCGAGCGUUGUCCGGAUUUAUUGGGCGUAAAGAGCUCGUAGGCGGUUUGGUAAGUCGGGUGUGAAAUCUCCACGCUCAACGUGGAGGGGCCACUCGAUACUGCCAUGACUCGAGUCCGGUAGAGGAGUGUGGAAUUCCCGGUGUAGCGGUGAAAUGCGCAGAUAUCGGGAGGAACACCCGUAGCGAAGGCGGCACUCUGGGCCGGAACUGACGCUGGGGAGCGAAGGCGUGGGGAGCAAACAGG
rnacentral:rRNA from 1 species